CACACGCGAACAGUCGUAGAAAAAAAAAUCGCGCGCUCGCGAACGGAAAUGUUUAAUAACAAUAAAAUUAACAACGAUCGACGGGUAACAAACACCGACAACGAAUAAUUAUCACAUCGACGUACCGCGACUGUUCUCGAAUAAUACCGAUGUACCGACCCGAGCGCGCGCGCUAAAACGUCUCCGGAAAAAAAGUAAUUGAUAAUAGCUCGGAAUAUCGGCUACUCGGACGAGACCGUAACACGAACGACACGCACACGUAUACGGCGGCAACUGCGCGUAAUCCUAAC